UGCGUAGGCGGUCCCGCAAGUCCGCUGUGAAAGCCCCGGGCUUAACCUGGGAAUGGCAGUGGAAACUAGGGGACUUGAAUCCGGCAGAGGGGGGUGGAAUGCCACGUGUAGCAGUGAAAUGCGUAGAGAUGUGGCGGAACACCGAUGGCGAAGGCAGCCCCCUGGGUUGAGAUUGACGCUCAGGCACGAAAGCGUGGGGAGCAAACAGGAUUAGAUACCCUGGUAGUCCACGCCCUAAACGAUGAUCACUAGGUGUUGGGGAAGCGAUUUCUCAGUACCGCAGCUAACGCGUGAAGUGAUCCGCCUGGGGAGUACGGUCGCAAGAUUAAAA
rnacentral:rRNA from 1 species